CACACUGUAAUAGAUUUGUGAAGAUCUUUGAGUCACUUUCCUGUCUCUGACUCUCAUGAUGAUAAUGACCCUUCACCUCCCGUUCCCCUCCCCCCCGGCCCACACUCUGUAUAUAAAAAUAUAUGAACUCUUCCCUCAUUUCGUGCAAGUCUCUUCUGUACCUUUGUUUUCUUUUCCCUGUCUUUCCUUUAUAUCAUUUCUCUCCAAUUCUUUUUUUUUUUUACCCUCCUUUUUCCUUUUUUUUUUUUGGGGGGGGGGGGGGGGGGGUUUUCCCCAUUCUAUUAGACACCUUUAUUGAGGGAGUACACAACACAAGCUUCUGUACCUAUCCAGAAAGUCGCUGCAAAAUUGAUGGAGCUGAUCAAUCUUUUGGAUUGGAGGGUAAAACAUUGGUGUGCCGGUUGCUGUUCAUUUCAUGAAUUAUUUGUCGAGAUCUUGAGCCUAUCACCUAUGUUGUGGAUUUUUUUUUUAUUUUUUUAGGCGGCAAGGAAUUGGUUCGUAUGUUUUCUCUCUGGUAGGCGGAGUUGGAUAGAAUAUGAUUUCCAAGUGGCAUACAAGUCGGAUGGAUACUUACCAGUCUUGUGGCAGUGGUUGCCACUGGUUUAUGUGCUUGCUUUUGGCUAUCGGUCUAAUGAUAGUUGGAGGAGAUCGACCGGAUAUACUAUGUUUGGAGUCGUCAAGGGAAGAGAGAUAUGGGGGGAGAGAGCUUCCUUCGGCCCACUCAUGGGUGGCAAUAUUAAGGGGUUGAAUUAGCUGCCGACUCAUUCACUCAAUCACUCAGUAGAGAUCUAAAAUGACGCGGUGGGUCGUUCUUGCUGUGAUCGUCGAUUGGCAUCCUCUUAAGCGUAAAAUUCUACUGCUUGACUGUGUGAAUGAUGCGGGAGAUACUUCUCGCCCCUCCUUUUCUAUGCUUGGACUGAAGGGAGCUCCUUUCUCUCGAUUUCCCAUUUCCUGGUCAUGACUGAUCUCUUCCUGUGUAUAGAGCCACAACAUUCCAUCGAGAUAUGCUAGAACGAUCUCACAACCCGAGGUAUGUUAAUCCUAUCACACAGAAGGUCAGUGUAUGAUGCAACCUUCUACUUAAUGGUCGGAUUGUCCCGUAGAUGAUUCCUCCUUUCUGGGUGUAUGUUGAUCAACUAUACCGUUGGUGAGUGAGUUAGGUCUAUAAUGCCAAAAUCGAAAUCAACCUUGCAAUUGGUACACAAGUUGAUCUAGGAUCAUGAGAGCUUAUAUUUGUGUUAGUUUGCUUCAUAAAAGAAUUUAUUAAUUACAUUUUGUGCUGUAAUUCCCAAUUUUUUCUGUUCAUUGAAUGAUCUGUUAGACUGUGUGAUAGGCUGAUAGCAAUGUGGGUGAAAGAAGCCCCUCAUUCUUUGGUUGGUUUAAGUCUUUGACCUUUAUUUUGGCAUUUUUUUUUAAUGUUAUCAUCAUCAGCAUGGGGUUCUUAUAUAUAUAUAUAUGUGUGUGUGCGCGCGCGCGCGUGUGUGUGUAACGUAUUUUUUUUUUCCAUUUUUCCCUUCCACUGCUGAAAAGAAAAAUAUCUGCCCGUUUAUUUCCAAAAGAACUGUACGUCCCUGGUUCAAUUCUGGCGCACUGCUUCAAUGCUUUCUCACGAAUCUCUCCUUUUUGCUGAACAAAGUCGUGUACUUUGUCUCACGAAUCUCUCCUACUUGGCACUUUUGCCCUCCUUAAAAUUUACAUUGAUUAUUAGCUCCUCUUCUAACAUGAAGUGUCGUCGUUGAUCUCACAAUGAGGUGUCCAAUCGACCCUCGUGAUGCAGGUCUAAGGUUCAAGAUCCCACCUACUAGAUAUUGGUCGCACUCCGGUUCUUGAUUGAUCUAUCUGGGGGUUGGAUCGGGAUCGUGCUAGCACAUGGAAAGUACGUCGACAUGCGAUUAUUAGGAGAAUUAUUUGGUGGGGUAUGCUUAUUAUGUUGGUUAAAGGGUUUAAUUCAAUUGGUUUGGUGGGAGGGAUAUUCCUUACCAAACAGGUGAAAGCAAACAAAUUCUGUAUUGGGCUUUGAAAUGAGCUUUUGUGUUUGGUCUCGUCUCGUCUCGUUUCAUCUCUUUCUUUAUAUAAUGUAAACCCUAGAGUUUCACCUAUCUAUUUGUCCCCAUUAGGGCUUUUGUGUUGUUGGAACUUGGAACUCACUACUAGGAGUCUGCUUUAUAGGUUUUUGGUGGCAAACUAUAAAAACCAAAAGUUGAAUAACAUCCCAUUUUAUCAGA